UCUCCGUUGGUGAACCAGCGGAGGGAUCAUUACCGAGUUUACAAACUCCCAAACCCUUUGUGAACCUUACCAUAUUGUUGCUUCGGCGGGACCGCCCCGGCGCCUUCGGGCCCGGAACCAGGCGCCCGCCGGAGGCCCCAAACUCUUGUCUUUUAGUGUAUUUCUGAGUGGCAUAAGCAAAUAAAUCAAAACUUUCAGCAACGGAUCUCUUGGUUCUG
rnacentral:misc_RNA from 1 species